UGACUACCCCCCUGAAUUUAAGCAUAUCACUGAGCGGAGGAAAAGAAAAGAACUCCGAUUCCCGUAGUAAUGGCGAAUGAACUGGGAAAAGCCCAUAACCGAACCCGGCACCUUUCGGGUGUUUGGGAAUGUGGUGUUUGGGAGGUGCCAUUUCCGACCCGUUCAUGGGCAUCCAAAGUCCGUUGGAAUGCGGCCCCGUAGAGGGUGAGAGGCCCGUACGGGUGUCUUGUCGGGACGGUUGGUGCUCUCCUUAGAGUCGGGUUGCUUGCGAGUGCAGCCUAAAGCGGCAGGUAAGCUCCUGUUAAGGCUAAAUAUGACCGGGAGACCGAUAGCGAACAAGUACCGUGAGGGAAAGUUGCAAAGAACUUUGAAGAGAGGGUUAAAUAGUACGUGAAACCGCCCGGAGGAUAAGCGGCUGGAACCUCGAGUCCGAAGGGCAGAGUCAACCGCAUCCCGCAACCGUCCGGAUUCACUUGUGCUCGUCUUAGCGGCGAUCUGAUCGAGUUCGGCGGACGGGUGAGGUGCACUUCUGCCCAGUAGGAUGUCGCGACUGGCUGGCGACUGCGUGUGGGGCCCAGGUUAUUGUUCCUAGGACUUGAUCCGAAGACGCCUGGUGUGUCCCUCGAGUCUGCGUCCGGCCGUCUUCUGGGGAGCGGGGGACGAGCUUCGGCUCGUGGCGAUUGGCAGGUGGCUGGCGAGCUGUGUUCUAUGGUAUGGCCGGGAGGGCUUCGACUCUUCCGUCCUGCUUGGAAUCCGACUCGCGUGAAGGCUGCGUUGCUUUGUUAUUCAGCUCGCUGCUGUCCCUCUCCGCACGCGGCAUUGCGAAAAUGUGGUUCCGUCUGUCCCGUCUUGAAACACGGACCAAGGAGUCCAGCGCAUGCGCGAGCCAGUGACUGUUGUCGAAGGUCACGGACGUAAACGAAAGUGAAGCCUGUCUUCGGAUGGGUGACGGAGGAUCUCGGUGCUUGUAAGAGCCCGAGCGCACUCUGGGGGUGUCCCGUCUACCUGGCCGCUUCGCGGCUUGCCGAGUUGCGACUGGGUGGGAUGCACCGAGGAGCGCACGUGCUGGGACCCGAAAUGGUGACUAUGCCUGCCCAGGUUGAGCAGGGAACCUGGACCUGGUGGAGGACCGCAGCGGUUCUGACGUGCAAAUCGAUCGUCCGAGGUGGGUAUAGGGGCGCAAGACUAAUCGAACCAUCUAGUAGCUGGUUCCCGCCGAAGUUUCCCUCAGGAUAGCUGGUGCUCGAGUGUGACGAGAGUCUCAUCCGGUAAAGUGAAUGAUCAGGGGCCUUGGGGGCGAAACGACCUCAACCUAUUCUCAAACUUUAAAUGCGUGAGAGCUUGGGCUUUCUCGAACGAAGCUCACGUGUGGAUCCAUGAGUGCCCAGUGGGCCCGUCCUGGUAAGCAGGACUGGCGCUGUGGGAUGAACCAAACGCCGGGUUAAGGCGGCCAAAUCUAUGCUGAUCAGACACCAGAAAAGGCGUUGUUUGCUUAGGACAGUAGGACGGUGGCCAUGGAAGUCGGCAUCCGCCAAGAAGUGUGUAACGACAUACCUACCGAAGCAAGCAGCCCUGAAAAUGGAUGCCGCUCAAGCAUUGUGCCGAUACCUGGCCGUCGGGACAGAGCUGGCCUUCCCCAGGGCACACAGGUCCCGACGAGUAGGCGGUGCGCGGCGGUCGCUGCGAAGGGUCUGGGCGUGAGCCUGCCUAGAGCGGCCGUCGGUGCAGAUCUUGGUGGUAGUAGCAAUUACUCGAGUGGGAACCUCGAGGUCUGAUGUGGAGCAGGGUUCCAUGUGAACAGCAAUUGAACAUGGGUUAGUCGGUCCUAAGGCGCAGGAGAAAUCCGGGGAAAGGCAGGGGCGAUCUUCUGAACCGCCUCCACCCAGCCGAAAGGGAAUGCGGUUAAAAUUCUGCAACUCGGACACGGAUAACCCCCUUGCGGGGUGUUGGGGCCUUUGCAGCCUAUGCCGUGAGGCAAACGAACUCGGGGACGCCGACCGCUGCCCCGGGCAGAGUUGUCUGUUCUGCUUAAGGGCCCGGAUCCCUGGAAUUGGCUCGGCCAGAGAAAGGGAACUGGUGCCUGAAGAGCCCCGCAGCUCUCGCGGGGUCCGAUGGGUAGCGUUUGGCCCUUGAAAACCCGGGGGAGGGCGUACUGACUUUCGUGCCGAGCCGUACCCAUAUCCGCAGCAGGUCUCCGAGGUGAACAGCCUCUGGACUCUAGGUUAAUGUAGGUAAGGGAAAUCGGCAAAUUGGAUCCGUAACUUCGGGAGAAGGAUUGGCUCUGAGGGCCGGGUCGGUCGGGCCCUGUCAGGAAAUGGUUAGUGGCGCCGUUGUCGGACCUGGGCGGGUGGCGCGUUCGCUUCGGCGGCCUGCUCUUGCUCGGACCGGCACUGGUGUCCACGCCCCAUGGAUCGGCUGGGCUGUGGGCACGUGCCUUAGCAGAGAUGCGAGGGUCGUGAACGCUUCGGCCGGCAAUCAACGGCCGACUCAGAACUGGCACGGACCGAGGGAAUCCGACUGUUUAAUUAAAACAUAGCAAGCCGGAUGCCCGAGAGGGUUGUUACGGCUUGUGAAUUCUGCCCAGUGCUCUGAAUGUCGAAGUGAAGAAAUUCACCGAAGCGCGGGUAAACGGCGGGAGUAACUAUGACUCUCUUAAGGUAGCCAAAUGCCUCGUCAUCUAAUUAGUGACGCGCAUGAAUGGAUCAACGAGAUUCCCACUGUCCCUAUCUACUGUCUAGCGAAACCACAGCCAAGGGAACGGGCUUGGACGAAACAGCGGGGAAAGAAGACCCUGUUGAGCUUGACUCUAGUCUGGUGCUGUGAAGAGACACGUAAGAUGUAGGAUAAGUGGGAGCGCCGGAGGUUCGCCUCAACGGUUGUAGCCAGUGAAAUACCACUACUUUCGUAGUUUCUUCACUAACCCGGUUAGGCGGAGCCCGGACUCUUCUGAGUUCCGGAUCUGAAGCGUUAAGUGUGGGCUGCAAGCGGCCUGCACGAUCCGAUUCGGGGACAGUGCCAGAUGGGGAGUUUGACUGGGGCGGUACAUCUGUCACAAGUUAACGCAGGUGUCCUAAGGCCGUCUCAGCGAGGACAGAAACCUCGCGUGGAGCAAAAGGGCAAAUGACGGCUUGAUCCUGGUGUUCAGUAGGCACACGGACCGUGAAAGCGGGGCCUAUCGAUCCUCUUAUUUUGAGAGCUCAAGCAAGAGGUCAGANAA
rnacentral:rRNA from 1 species